GGUAGAAUGGCUGAUGAAAGCAUUAGACUGUAAAUCUAAUUAUGAGGCUAUACUCCUCUUUUGCCA
rnacentral:tRNA from 1 species